GUGCGUGAACUAGGGCUAGGGGCUGUGUGGUCAGUUGUAACGAGGCAUCCGGCGUCAUGGUCCAAGCGGCCGCCGCAAGCGCCCAGCUACCGCCGCAAGUGCCUCCUCCUCUCCCGCCACCUGCUGCGCGACCCGAUGGGGUCCCGGAUGCCGUCCGACACGGCGCGGCCGUCGCGCGAGCCAGAGGGGAUGCGGGUGCCGGGCGGGCCGCGGAAGGAGGGGAUGCAGGAGGUCGGGGUGCUCCGCGACGACCGGUUCCUGGACUUGCUCUGCAAGGGCCACCACCUGCGCCUCCGCCGCGGGUGGCGGUUGGGCGCGCCGAAGGGGUUGGACGAGACCUUCGUCGAGGUGGUGGAGCCGUUGCGGCCGAAGCUGGGCCGCGAGAAGGCCCAGCUGUGGAUGCCCUUGCACGAGAUGGAGGUGCGGCUGCGGCGGAGCGGGGAGCGGACCCUGCAGGUGGUGACCAAGGGGACGCCGGGACGCCUGCCACCACAGACAAGACAGUUAGUCAGAAGACUUGACUUAAGACUACGACCCAGAAGUAGCUAGACGUCCCCCCUCCCUUCUGCCAAGGCCCGUUGGACGCCUAGUACGUCGACGUCCGCAGGUCCUUCUUCGUGUUGUUCGACCUCAAGGAACAGGGGACCACCCUAGACGUCGAGCCGUAGAGGCAGCUGGUCAAGGAGAGGUAGAAGCGGAGGUUCUUGUGGCUGAAGUCCACUCGAGGGCAGACUGCGGGAAACGACUGGGGUUGUCUCGUAAGUGCAAGGAGAAGCGGCUGCCCCGGUCGCUCCUCGACUCGAGCGACGUCCGCCACCUCCGCGUGCGCAAGGGCGUGGUAAAGCGGCUGUACUUCUUCUUCCACCCGGAGCGCGGGCGGCGGUAGCAUAGACGGUCCCCGAGGCUGUCAAGCCACGAGUUUAGUCAACUGCGGUUGUCUGGUCACUCCAGGUUAAUGGGGGACUAGCCAUAACGCCAACAGUCUCUUAAAGAACGUAAUUAAAGGAGCGAAAACGUUGUAGACGUAUACUCUCGAUACGUACUAACUCCCUGACGAAAAGGACGUGGACGUUUCUUCAAGAGGCCGCUUUUCCUGUUCUUGAACCGUCGGGUGCCGCCGGUACCACCAUUGAGCUACUACUUUCUCUUGUUGUUGGGUCUACAACUGCCGAUGUAGUCGUUAGGAAUGGACAGGUAUCGGUACCGAUCCCUGAGCGACUCCGUUUCUCUUCUCCGCUUCUUCUUCGUUCGACUCGAGUGACUUGACCUCUUACUCCGUUGGCUCUACGUCGUCUUCUUACUCCUCCUCUCCCAUCGGUAGGUCCUGGACCUCCAAGUCGACUAGUUCUCCUCAGCCGCUCACCUCUUCACGGCAGCGAACCGUCUACGGGUCCGGUUGAUGUUCUGUCACGAGCUCUUCUACUAGUCUCUGCGGUACGUGGUCUCACAACACAUGUUCCUUGUUGAGUCCGACUUAGUCCGACGUUGGUCGUGAGACUACCGCUCUGACCUCCGUGUCUCUCGGUACACAGUGAGUAGACUUUGGCUCGAGGCGUUCUUCAUGGUCGUGUCCCUACUAGACCUCUCCGUCCACUUCGGAAAUUAACUAGUUCGUUCCUUCUCCAUGGUCCAACUGCUACUUUAGGGUCUCCUUUCCGUGACACUCUCAAAGUCCAUGAUCGGUCUUUCUCACAGCUCCUCGUCGGGAGACUUCGUCCUCGACUCCCAAAAGAACCUCCUCCGAGUCUCCUGAAGUCUACGUAUGUUGUAAAGGGACCUCUCCCUUCUCUAACCUCUUCCCUGAAGUUGUUACUCAAUACAGUUGUGCCUUGUUGGAAGGUUCCACUAUUCGAAGGGUUCUUCCAGGUAGAGGUGACUACUUUUGUCCUCAAUGUGACUUUCUCCUUCUCGAAGUCAUUCCCUCUUCGAUCUUGUUAGCCGCUAGUCUCUCGCCGUAGCAUUGUCCCCUUCCCUUUCUUUCCUUUGGUACCGUAGUUCCCCACAACCAUGUGGAUACUUCAGUUCUUUACUAUUCCCUUUCCGUCGGUACCGGCUCAGGCUCUGACUUUCCAGAGUGGUACGUUCGGUCUGCCAGAGUAAAGGUUCCUGGGGAAGCCAAGGUGGUUCAGGAGGGAUAUCUCACUGGCCUCACAUGCCUUACGGUUUCAUGGGGUGUCUCUUCAGCGAUGGUCAAGUUUUCCUACUACUUUACGAAGUAGGAGCUGCACAACGGUCUAGUCUUCUGUUGCGUUUGUACUUGAUGUCUCCGUUCCCGUUACAACUAUUCACCGAGGUAUACGAGUACCUGCUGGUUGUUCUUCCUUUACUUCGCCGUAUGGCAAGGAGUCUUCUAAUGUUACGGUGGCUCUUCUUGCCAAGCCUGCUACUCGUUCUUUAAGUUUCGUCUUAGCUGCUACUGCUCUCGACGUCCUUACUCUAGUGGCUUACACAACUACUCUAGUGACUUUCACAACUGUUCUAGCAGCUGCAGCCGCCACUCUCACGACGAUGAGUGGUACCGUGGGGUUCUACGUCCCUAUCGAAACUGUAGUUCCUCCUCUUUCACCUUUCCUUCUAGACCAAGGGCUCCAGGCUGUCGCCAUCCCCAAAGGCCAGGGACGGUAGGAGAGGAAGGUUCUAGGACCCUUACUCUUCUUUGAGUCUGACACGUCCGUCCUUUGGAUUCCACCCAGCGCUGCUACUAGUGUCUAUGCCGAUGCUCCUAAGACAUAGAUGCUCGUCGUCGUUCAAGGAGUCGUUUACGUUCGUCCGCUAGUUCUUUUGCCAUGUGUUUACUCCGUUAGAGGGACAAAUAAGAAAAGGUACACCACAAACAACGUAAACAGACUUCACGAUAAUAAAACAAAGACAUCGACUUAUUCAAUCGCUACGUAUCGAACGUCUGAUGACAGACUCCAAGACGGACACCUUGUAAACACCAAUCAAAUCACUAGUGCAAAUACACUAGUGUAAGCACACACACACAAACACAUGUUGAUAAACAACUAGACACUUUUUUUCUAUCUUGGUUUAAGAAUCUAAUACAUACAAAGACACUCACUCCAAAUGUCAUCAAACUUCUUGAGACAGUCAUUAGAACCUUU
rnacentral:rRNA from 1 species